UGAUAAAAGGAUUCAAAGUCAUAAAUCUAUGCACUUGUGCAUAAUGAUUUAUGACCUUGAAGACUUAACAGAUAUGAGGAUGAAGCAUGUUAAUGCAUAAUCCGAAUGGCUGUGAAUUGCGUGACAAUUCAUUAUCA
rnacentral:sRNA from 1 species